GACGAACGCUGGCGGCGUGCUUAACACAUGCAAGUCGAACGGAAGGGCCCUGCUUUUGUGGGGUGCUCGUGUGGCGAACGGGUGAGUAACACGUGAGUAACCUGCCCUUGUCUUUGGGAUAACUUCUGGAAACUGGGGCUCAUACCGCAUAUGAGCUCCUGCUGCAUGGUGGGGGUUGGAAAGUUUCGGCGGUUGGGGAUGGACUCGCGGCUUAUCGGCUUGUUGGUGGGGUAGUGGCUUACAAAGGCUUUGACGGGUAGCCUGCCUGAGAGGGUGGACGGCCACAUUGGUACUGAGAUACGCCCCAGACUCCUACGGGAGGCAGCAGUGGGGAAUAUUACACAAUGGGCGGGAGCGUGAUGCAGCAACGCCGCGUGCGGGAUAACGGCCUUCGGGUGGUAAACAGCUUUCGCCUGAGACGAAGCGUGAGUGACGGUAAUGGGUAAAGAAGCACCGGCUAACUACGUG
rnacentral:rRNA from 1 species